rnacentral:rRNA from 1 species
ACUGUGAAUUCUUAUGAAUGGUAGGGGAGCGUUCCAAUUGCGAUGAAGGUAGACCGUGAGGACUGCUGGAGCGUUUGGAAGUGAGAAUGCCGGUGUGAGUAGCGCAAGCUGGGUGAGAAUCCCAGCCACCGAUUGUCUAAGGUUUUCUGGGGAAGGUUCGUCCUCCCAGAGUAAGUCGGGACCUAAGGCGAGGCUGAAAAGCGUAGUCGAUGGACAACAGGUUGAUAUUCCUGUACCACCUAUGUAACUGAUGGAGUGACGGAGAAGGCUAACAAGAGCCAGUUAUUGGAUUCUGGUCUAAGCACAAAGACUUGUGAGUAGGUAAAUCCGCUACACUAUAAAGUUGAAGUGUUAUGGUGACGAGAACUUCGGUUCUUUAAAUCUUGUGACGCCAUGCUUCCAAGAAAAGCUUCUAGGGCUAAUUACAUAGGCGCCCGUACCGCAAACCGCCACAGGUGGACAAGAAGAGUAUUCUAAGGUGAGCGAGAGAACUAUGGCUAAGGAACUCGGCAAAAUGACCCCGUAACUUCGGGAGAAGGGGAGGUUACUUCGGUAACCCGCAGUGAAUAGUCCCAGGCAACUGUUUACCAAAAACACAGCUCUCUGCUAAACCGCAAGGUGAUGUAUAGGGGGUGACACCUGCCCAGUGCUGGAAGGUUAAGAGGAAGGGUUAGUAUGGCGUAAGCUAUGAUACGAAGCUCUGAAUUGAAGCCCCAGUGAACGGCGGCCGUAACUAUAACGGUCCUAAGGUAGCGAAAUUCCUUGUCGGGUAAAUUCCGACCCGCACGAAAGGUGUAAUGAUCUGGGAACUGUCUCGACCAUAGACUCGGUGAAAUCUUAAUACCUGUGAAAAUGCAGGUUACCCGCGACAGGACGGAAAGACCCCAUGGAGCUUUACUGUAGCUUGAUAUUGAGCUUCGGUAUGUUAUGUAGAGGAUAGGUGGGAGACGUUGAUACUAUGGCGCCAGCUAUAGAGUAGUCAUCCUUGGAAUACCACCCUUAACAUAUUGGAGUUCUAACCUAGACCCAUUAUCUGGGCCAGGGACAGUGUCUGGUGGGCAGUUUGACUGGGGC